GACGAACGCUGGCGGCGUGCUUAACACAUGCAAGUCGAACGAAAAAUCAUUGAAAGCUCGCUGAUAUGAUUUUUAGUGGCGGACGGGUGAGUAACGCGUGAGGACUUGUCUUAUACAGGGGGACAACAGUUGGAAACGGCUGCUAAUACCCCAUAAGCCUUCGGGUAAAAGGAGCAAUCCGGUAUUCGAGAGACUCGCGUCCUAUCAGCUAGUAGGUGAGGUAACGGCUCACCUAGGCGAAGACGGGUAGCCGGCCUGAGAGGGCGAACGGCCACACUGGAACUGAGACACGGUCCAGACUCCUACGGGAGGCAGCAGUGGGGAAUAUUGGGCAAUGGGGGCAACCCUGACCCAGCGACGCCGCGUGAGUGAAGAAAUCCCUCGGGAUGUAAAGCUCUGUUGUGUGGGAAGAUAAUGACGGUACCACACGAGGAAGCCCCGGCAAACUACGUGCCAGCAGCCGCCGUAACAC
rnacentral:rRNA from 1 species